UCUUGUAUCAGUGCCAGAUAAAGUUCAACAACUGAAAGUCCACCUCAUAAAGAGUAAUGUGAUCAGAGUAACUUGCUCCCCGCCAGUCAGUGGAUUUAAAGGACCAACGGAAAUUUACAUCAUUCGUCUCAUUGGUGACAGAGAAGUAAAGAAAACUGCUGAGUGUCGUUUUGAAAUCGGAGAUCUGAGCUACUUCACAUCCUACACCGUCCAGGUGGUUGCCUUCAAUGGGGUGUUUGAGAGUGAAGCUGAAACAGCAAACGUUUCCACUCGCUACAAUGACAAAGCUCUUAGUGGCAUUUUGAUCUUCAUCCUCAUCAUUCUCAUCAUCAUACUUGUAGCGCUGCGUCUGGCAGUCUUCAUCAAAAAGCGAAAGAAGUCAAAAAAUGUUACUAAAGAAGAAGUUAUGCUCACAUCAACAGCGAAGGCUUACAUAUGAAGACACCGUGGCGCUGAAGACCGAUUCAUCAUUUGCUGUCUGUGCUUGAAUAUCAAGUUCGUUUGGAGACAAUUUUGAAGAAAUUCAAAACAUCCACGCCAAAAUUUCCCAGAUUUUGAUUUUAAUGUUUUGUAAUAUAUAUAUUUUUUGAUUCAGAUGUUUACAGCUGUCUAUAGCUGCGGUUGUUACUAAAUGCAUCUAUCUGCUGCUAUAGAUGCAUAUGUUGUUUAUCGCUGUGGUUUCUCUGUUUUAUUUGUUUCUCUUUUUCUGCAGGUGUAGAAUCAAAUAAAUAAAAGACGCAUAAAAGAUAUUCUCCUUAUCUAAUGUAUGUAUAUACAUUUGAUGUUUGUUUUCACAUUUAUAAUAUAUGUGUGACUUUUGGAAUAUGUACAAAUUUUGUUACUUCUUAAAAAUGUCAAAUAAAACAAUGUGCUCUUCAUUG